rnacentral:rRNA from 1 species
UGCAACCUAACAGCUCGAUGUGAGUUGAUGAACCGGUCCGUACGGUUCCUUGGCCUUCCAUUGCCGAAUCGUCUGGCCAUGUAUGUCCUGGCGUAGAGAUCGCGCAUGGUUAUCACUGAGUAUAAUUAGAGAGUUCCAGCGCAGCCUUGCUCUCGCUACUCUAGCGCUUGGUAUCACUGAUAUGAGCUCUCGGUUUCAUUUUUUGUGGUUUCGGACCCGGAGUAUAGGUUUAAGAGGCAACUGUCGGGGCACCCCUAUAUCUCAUUGUGAGAUGUAAAUCUCUGAAUAUGAGAGACGAGAUCUGCGCGAGCGCAUGCCAAAAUAUGUUCUCUAUUCACAAGAGAGAGUUUGGGGCUCAGAGAUCUGAGACCCUUCCGAGUCUCACACAAAGAUACGCCUCUAGAUUUCGGAUAUUUAAGAGACUCUCCAGAGCACUUGAGAGAUCUCAAUCUCUGUGUUUGGGGGGGAAUAUGUCGCGAGUGUGACUUAAAAGGAAGUGGGAAGGCGCCACCACACGCGUAGCGCGCGGGUAAAUGUCUCUCCACGCGGGACUUUCACAUCCCACAUAUAAAAAUUUCACAGAGAGAGAUCUCUCUCGAUUUAUAUGUGGGGGCACAUCCCUCUUAGAGGGGGAGAGAUUUUGUGGGAAUUUCGUUUCGAACGAGACCUCUCCCCUUAAAUAGUCACAUCUCACUUAAUUGGCGACCGGUCUCAGAGAGACUAUCACAGUGUUUCUGAUGGAAAGUGAGACGCAAUCACAUGUGUGAUACCCCAGAUAUUUGGGGCGCACGCGCGCUACACAGACGGAGAGGCACGAGUUCUUCCUGAGCUGAAAGGUUCGGGUAAUCUGUGAAAAUCCGUCGUGAUGGGGGAUAGACUUUUGCAAUUUUUAGUCUCACGAGGAAUGCCUAGUAAAGCGUGAGUCAUCAGCUCGCGUGAUACGUCCCUGCCCCUUUGUACACACCGCCCGUCGCUCUACCGAUGAAUGUCCGAUGAGCAUGUGGAGCGUAUCCAGCGGACGUUCUCCGUCCGCUGGUCUGUGAAGCUCUGCAAUCUAUCAUAGAGCACGAGAAUCAGGACGC